CCUACGGGAGGCAGCAGUAGGGAAUCUUCGGCAAUGGACGAAAGUCUGACCGAGCAACGCCGCGUGAGUGAAGAAGGUUUUCGGAUCGUAAAACUCUGUUGGUAGAGAAGAACGUUGGUGAGAGUGGAAAGCUCAUCAAGUGACGGUAACUACCCAGAAAGGGACGGCUAACUACGUGCCAGCAGCCGCGGUAAUACGUAGGUCCCGAGCGUUGUCCGGAUUUAUUGGGCGUAAAGCGAGCGCAGGUGGUUUAUUAAGUCUGGUGUAAAAGGCAGUGGCUCAACCAUUGUAUGCAUUGGAAACUGGUAGACUUGAGUGCAGGAGAGGAGAGUGGAAUUCCAUGUGUAGCGGUGAAAUGCGUAGAUAUAUGGAGGAACACCGGUGGCGAAAGCGGCUCUCUGGCCUGUAACUGACACUGAGGCUCGAAAGCGUGGGGAGCAAACAGGAUUAGAUACCCUGGUAGUCCACGCCGUAAACGAUGAGUGCUAGAUGUAGGGAGCUAUAAGUUCUCUGUAUCGCAGCUAACGCAAUAAGCACUCCGCCUGGGGAGUACGACCGCAAGGUUGAAACUCAAAGGAAUUGACGGGG
rnacentral:rRNA from 1 species